AGGCGGCGAUGUCAUUGGCUACCGCUGUUAUGCGGCGGGAUUUUUCUUCUGGGGAGAGCAUUUCGAGGCCCGUUAGGCUGAGGGCGUUGGACAUGGGGGAGAUAGGUAGGUAAAGUAGGCUUCGGUGGUGGAGGUGUGGUAUUUAAAACAAAUCCAUUUUUAAUUUAAUUUAAUUUUGGUGCUGAUGCCUUGAAUCUUGCCUGAAUGUGCACUCCUCAUGGUAAUUUUAUGAGCUGCCCGGUGGGUGGUGACCCGUCAAUGUGACUUCUUCUUCAGUUGCCUUAUAUAUUCCUUGAUAAACCCCCCAAAAUUGCGACAUCCUGAGUAAGUACUGUACAGUACAAAGGAGGGGGAACAAGAACUGUGCGUCUUCCAGUAUGCGGGUGGGAAUUGCAGGAAGCCGGACAUCUAAAAGGAAACAAUCACCACAGUCUUUGGAUACCACGGGGAUAGGGGCAUGGAUGAACUCACUGGAUAGCCAAUGCAAAACAUAAAG
rnacentral:sRNA from 1 species